CGACAAUUAACCUGAUGUUUGCG
rnacentral:siRNA from 1 species